CCUUCUCUCUCUACAACAAAACAAAAAUUCCCCGUUCAUUUUCCUAUUUUUAUUUCUAUUCCUAUUCCAUUUUACUAAAUUCACAAUUUAGAAGAAUAACUCGUGACAAUGCCUACUCUCCACAAAUUCAAGUUCUUAGCCACCCAAUGCGCCGUCGCUGAUAGCCCCACUCGCAGCCCUACCACCAGCCUUUCAUCCACGUCUCCACCGCCGCAGGACCCUCCACAUGUUCCUCGCUUGCCUCCUCGACCGCGGCCAUUUCCAUCCCCCUUCCCAAGAUCCGCUCGAAAUCAAGCUCAAGGAUCUUUAAAUCUCAAGAGUUACAGAGAGAGAAAGUGAGAGAUCUGAAUCGAAACAAAAGUUUAUUCACAAACUUAAGAAUUGAAGGCGAUGGGGGGUAUAUGUUCUAGGAAGAGAGAUCAACAAGUAAUGGAAGAUGAUUUACGGAGAGGAGGAGUAUCGAGAAGGUAUUGAAGAAGUGGGAGCACAAAAUGGUUAGCAGCCAGAAGUUUAAGUUCUAAGGCAAAUCAUUGCCCUGGUGGGGGUACCUGUCCCUCUCUCGUGGACUUAUGCAUAAAUAAGAUACGUGAGGAUUUUCAUAAAUACAAUUCCUUUUCAAAUCUUCCAUGAGACAUAAGCCAGCAAAUCUUCAAUGAAUUGGUGGAUUCUCAUUGCCUCAGGGAAGCAUCUCUUGAUGCUUUUCGAGAUUGUGCUCUUCAGGUACUAUACGAGCUGGCUUGGUUGAAUUGAAAGUUUGUUGACUAAAAUAAAGACUUUUAUUUUGGUGGAAUAGAAUCUUUGACAACUGAAGCAAUUGAGAUGGUCAUGCUGAUGAAAGGGAUUGAAUCUUAUUCAAACAAUUGUUCUUCGAAGAUUUUGAAGAGCCUUUUUUGUUAGCUAUAUAUUAGUAUGGUGCUGGAUAUUUUUGUUCAAAUAUUAGUUGCUUGUCAUCACUAUUUAUUAGUUGGUUAACAACCUUUACAUUUUUAAUUUUAAGAAAAUUACAUUACUUUUGUUGGUCAAUCAGAUUAAUGGUUUAAAUUUCUUCAGUCAUUAAGUGACAGGGUCAUGGAGAUG